rnacentral:lncRNA from 1 species
AAGCCUUCCCAACUCCUAGUCGCCGCCGUGUCCCAGUCAAGGAGAACAACACCGAUCUUGCUGUCGAUUCGGCUGACAAGGUCGUCCACCGAGCUCCCGAGCCCUGCCCUGGCCUUUGCUGCUGGAGGUUGGGACACGACCACCUUGUACUCGUCUUCUCCCAACUCCACCGUCGCAUUCCAGGUCGUCUCUCUCGCCUUUCAGCUCUGCCGUUGCAUCGCAUCCUCCCCAGUUCCCCACCUGUCGAGGGUAUCAACAAGGGGUACCCUCACCAAUGCGUAUAACGAGACCAUCCGUACACACGCGCGGCCAUCGACGGCCGCAGCCUCGAAGACGGAAAUAGCGUCGAGCGAAUCGGUCAGGGCUCGAGCGACAACUGCCGUCGAAUACGGAAGCGGGCACGAGCGAACCGAGAGGCGUCGAGCGCAAGGACACUGUCCGUCGCCUGACGCGCGCACGAGAGCCAGGGCAUUUAAUGCACCUGACGCUUCCCCACCUAACACACGGGUCACGGGAGGCGUGAUAGGGAACAGGCUUCUGUCCCAUCGUUCUUUUUGCAGCCUUCCCACCGAACGACCCAGGGCGUGUCAGGACGCGGGAAACAAGGAUGGAACGUCUAAUCGGGACCCCCUCGAGACACCCAAGGUCAGCGCUCCAGAUAUCGACACCUCGUACGACGUCCGACCCUCGACUUCACCAGGCUCCUUCCUGGAGACGAGUCGGGCGUCGACUGACCACGCCGUAACCGCUCCGCCGGAUUUGCCGCCGAGCCAUAUAAGCGUGCAUCCGCCGAACCAAUCCAAGACGGCGCGCAGAGCAGAAUGCAGGGGCACGCGUGAUCAUCACCUGGCUAUUAAGACGGGACGGCUCGAGGUCAUGCCGGUACGGAAACCUCGAGUAGGUCAGCGCUCCAUGCUGCUAUUGACUCCAAUUCCUACACCUAUACAUGUACCCUAGGUCCUUCCUUGGAACUAUAAAAGGAGGGACUCAGGAAUAGAACGGAGAGGACGACACAAGACCACGCUCAUACGUAGUAGAGCUCCACACUUCAUACCACGCUUGUAUUCGCCCCUGUACAAGCACUUAGGUGCAAGAUAAUACAAACUCUCUCCCCCCGCUGGACGUAGGGCCUUCUCUUGCCCAAACCAGGAUAAAUCUCUGUGUCUUCUUGUAUCACCAUCCGGGAAAGGGAGCACGCAUACAAAUUUACUCGUUGGUGUGACCCCCCGGGGGAAAAACACCGACAGUUGGCGCGCCAGGUAGGGGUCCUGCGUGUUUUUCAUCGAUUUCCCACUCCUUUCCGGAUGGCUACUCUUGCCUCGCCGUUUCCGCGCUCCACGGUGAUUUGGUUUGGGAGUCUCAAGUUCAUGUCUACGGGCUCCGGCUACGACAUGAUCUUGCUCUCAGUCAAAGGACCAGGAGGAGCCCGCGUUACGCCAGCACGGUUGAAGGCCCCGAGACGCCCUCACCACCACGCCUCCCCGCCUAAGAAGAGGCGCGGACAGCGCCACCGCGGCCCCUCUGCUUCAGCACGACCAACAACUCGUGCGAGGCAGGACGUAGGCCACAAGUCGGCAGCACCGUGUGACGGAGCAACAAGCGCGACGACUCAGCACCGCGCGACGACGGGAGGGGAUGCGUCUCGCGCGCUCUCCCCCACCGCAGCUAGGCUACUUCCACACGGGUUGUUCUCUCCAAGAGCGGCACUGCCGUUCGGAUUGGACAACGCCGCGGCGUCGCUCGCCAGGGCGAUAUGCCCAAACGCCCAGACGUACGUAGAAAGACCAAUGGUCCUCCCACGUAGCUCUGAAGCGCGGCGGCCGGCGUCCGAGCUGCCGGACCUUUCCCGAGUACAAGGCCUCCGUCGUCUAGGCCCCGGACGAUACUCGAUCACCUCCCUCAGGCAACGAUUGCUGGAGGAAGGACGUGGGUGUUUCUACGCCGCCGAACCGGACUCCGACUCCGAGACAGAUAGCUAUGACCCUACGAGGGAAUGCUAUCACAUCGACGGGGCGGUAGAAACUACUGACGAGACACGGGAUGCUGCUGCGGGUGGUCGAGCCCCCGCGGCGCGAGAAGACCCCAGGACGCCUGGGAACGACGGACAGGUCGACCCCCCUCCUCAGGAAGACAGAACCGCGCAGCUCGCGCAGCUGCGGAAGCUCAAGAUGAAGCUCGACGAAGACCGCGAGCGCCUCGUCCUGCUCGAGCAAAUCCUCGAGCAAGACCUGCCCUACCCGCCGGGCGGAAGUGUCCGCAGACGCGCUCGAGAGGUACAUCGACAGAUCGUCGGCGACGCAGAGCCAGAGCAACCUGUCAGCCGUUUCCCUCGAGCAGGCCAGAAUGUAGUGGCAGCGACGAUGCUGCUACGUAACAUGCCAGAGCCGUCGAAUUCCCAGGCCCGACGCAUUCGAGAUGAGGUACAGACAUUGCUCCAGGUGGCGGCGGUUCAACAAGCCGAAAGUUCGGCGUCUCGACGACGAGGAGCUGCCACAGAGAAGCGCGACGAACAGCCUCUGAACGAAGAGGAGGUGUCAGUCCAUCAACAACCUCCCCCUCGAGGUAGAAAGACCGCUCUCAUCCUCCCCGUCGAGGCGACUCCCAACUCGUCAUCGACCAGGUGAUGAAGGCUUCGAGCUGCCACGACCCGAAAAUGGAGGCGUACUGCAAAGAAGUACGUCGACUCGAGGACAAGUUCCAUGGUCUCGAGCUCGCCCAUGUUGCCCGACGCUACAACGAGGCAGCCGACGAGCUCGCCAAGAUCGCAUCGACUCGAGGCACGGUGCCACCUGAUGCAUUCUCAAGAGAUCUUCACGAGCCAUCCGUCGACUUGGGCUCGGGGGCUGGCGUCGAUGCCGCACCCGCCCAGCCAACCGACACCGUCGAUGCGUUGCUGAGAGCAGCAGAGGUGAUGGAGGUAGAGCAGCGACCCGGUCGACCGUUCGACUGGCAUACACCGUACCUCGACUGCCUAAUCCGCUGCGAGCUGCCAGAAGAUCGAUCUGAGGCCCGCCGUAUCGCUCGACGGGCCAAGUCAUAUGUGAUUUAUGGCGAAGGCGAUGAGCUAUACCGACGAAGCCCGACGGGGGUCUUGCAGCGUUGCAUCACCGUAGAAGAAGGCCGAAAACUCCUCGAGGACAUACACUCGGGGGCUUGCGGCCACCAUGCUGCCCCACGGACCCUCGUAGGAAACGCUUUUCGACAAGGUUUCUACUGGCCGACGGCCGUGGCAGAUGCCAUCGAGCUCGUACAUUCAUGUCAUGGAUGCCAGUUCUACGCCAAACAGACGCAUCUGCCUGCCCACGCUCUUUAGAUGAUCCCCAUUACCUGGCCUUUUGCGGUGUGGGGGCUCGAUUUAGUAGGACCCCUGCAAAAGGCGAAAGGAGGGUACACCCACUUGCUGGUGGCCAUCGACAAAUUCUCCAAAUGGAUCGAGGCUCGACCCAUCACCAACAUCCGCUCCGAGCAAGCCGUCCUUUUCUUCACCGACAUCAUACACCGAUUCGGAAUCCCUAACGUGAUCAUCACCGACAACGGCACCCAGUUCACCGGCAAAAAGUUCUUGGACUUCUGCGAUCAGCAUCACAUCCGUGUGAACUGGUCCGUGGUGGCUCACCCUCGAACUAACGGCCAGGUCGAGCACGCCAACGGCAUGAUCUUGCAGGGGCUCAAACCAAGAAUCUACAAUCGCCUAAAGAAAUUCGGCAAGAAGUGGGUCGAGGAGCUUUCCUCGGUCUUAUGGAGCUUGAGGACGACGCCAAGCCGGGCCACCAAAUACACCCCGUUCUUCAUGGUCUACGGUUCUGAGGCCGUGCUCCCAACGGACCUCGAGUAUGGGUCACCUCGACUCAAGGCCUACAACGAGCAAUCGAACAAAGAGACUCAAGAAAACGCGGUCGACCAACUUGAGGAGGCUAGAGACAUGGCCCUCCUCAACUCUGCCAGAUAUCAGCAAAGGCUUCGACGCUACCACGACAAGCAUGUGCGCAAGAGGGACCUCAACGUGGGCGACCUAGUCCUACGACGCCGGCAAAGCAAUCAGGGACGCCACAAGCUGACUCCGCCUUGGGAAGGUCCGUACGUGGUAGCCGAGGUCCUGAAGCCGGGAACGUACAAGCUGGCGGACGAAAAGGGGGCAAUUCUCACCAACGCAUGGAACAUCGAACAGCUACAUCGAUUUUACCCCUAGAAGUUCAAAACUUAUGUUCUUACGUAUAUUUUGUACCAAGACCCUGUAAACGAAUAUAUGAAUAGAUGAGGUCCUUCCCUCGAACAUCCAACUUCUUUUUGUACUUAGGCUUUACAAGUCAUGAUCUCGACGAUAGAAGGGGGUGCCGACUAUGACCCAUCAUAGUCAACACCCCCCUCGGGGGCUACCAGGGGGACGACCCCCCCCCCAAACGUCGAAAAAAGCCAAGAAAUUUUCUUUUCUUACUUAGUAAACCUUGCACGAUUCGAGUAGCCAAAGCACCUCGAGCCCCUCAAAGGCCGAGGGACAACGAGCCUGAGAACUCCUACGCCCCCGGGCUACGGAAACUCUACUCACUUCCUUACCCUUGAGGUGAUCAAGGUUGUUUUUGACGAAAGAUCGAACAAGGAAUACAAACGUAGGAAUAAGGAAGAAUAAAAGAACCUCGAGCGGAAAGACAAACAAAAUAAGCAUUUAACAAUUACGAAAGUGAUACAACAUCAGUUACCCACAGAAUUAACAAAGUAUCGUACAAGGGGCCUCAGGCGCCCCGAGCAGGCUCGCAGGCCUCAGUCCGCGUCACGAUCCUCACCGCCCUCGCCUCCGCCCGAGCUAGCCUCAGGAGGGAGCACCUCAGGCUCGAAAAGCUUGGCCAACCUUUCCCCAGGAGCCUCCGCGUCGUCGAUCAAGGCAUGGAGCCUCUCCUCGUUCUCCGCGUCGGUCUUGGAGAUGUCGGUGACGAAGCCAUGGGACCCUCCAUGUCGUAGGAGAAGCCCGAGCAGACAACCGCCAUCGCCCGCUUCACCCCGAUGUGGAGGGCGUCCCGCACCCGAUCUCGCAGCGUCGCGCCUAUGUAGCACAACUGGUCGACCAGGGCGUCGCCUCGAGCGUCCUCCCUCGACUCAUCCAUAGGCUCGACCUCCCAAGAGGUCGAGAGAUCACUUAUCGCCGUCCGCACUCGACGGUUCAAAGCAACCUCCGCCUCGAGCUGAGCCUUGGCGUUGCGAGCCUCGGCUUGGGCGGCCAGGAGUUCGUCCUUGAGCCCUGUAAAAGCCAAUAUAAAGAGACCUUAGGAAAAACUAAGCACACCUCGGAAAAAGAAAUCUGAUAGAGGAAACAUACCGCGUACGGUCUCCUCGAGGGCCGUGUUCUCGCCGACCAGCCUGGUGUUGGCCCCCUCGAUCUCUUUGUUGGAGCGUGCCAGCUCGGUGUUGGCAACGCGGAGAUCCUCGAUCGCCUUGCCAGCCUGAGCAAUGGCCCCCUCUUCUCCAGCAAUUCUCCCUUCAGACGCUCGACGUCGUUAGAGAGACUGCGGGAUCGAGCUCGCUCCGCCUCGAGAUCUUCGAGGGCCUUCUUCUUGGCUUCCUCCGCGGCGCCCCUGGCGACCUCGCCGUUCACAUGCUCCACCUUCAUCUUUCGGAAGGACUCUCGGAGAGAGUCCAGGUCGGAUUUAAGGAGGCCCUUCUCCUUGUCCAGAUCCGCGAUAACGCUCUUGUAGGACAGGGCCUCCUCCCGGGCUCUGGACGCGGCCUCCUCGACCGUAAGAACCCGCUCCCGUAGCUGCAUCGUCUCCUCCUCCGCCUUCUUCGAGGCCUCUCGGGCCUCAGCCAAGGCAGCCUCCCUCGCCUUCUUCUCCUCCUCGAGUGCUAUGAGAUCUUUGUAAGCUUUAAGGAGCUUUUCCUGCGACUCGAGGAGUUGAUCCUUGAGGAGGGGGAGCUGCUCCCAACCGCCCCUCGUGACGUGUAUGAAGCUGGACUUGAUGCGGGAGGUCUCUUUCAUAUCCUACGAAUCAAGGGUCGGAUGGAUUAGAAUACAGAAACCAGAAAGCACCAUGAGGAUUGGAGUUCGAGAAACACUUACAAAAUAAGCCGGGCCGAGCCCGUUGUUGAUAACGUCCGAGAGGAGCCCCACCACAUGCUUCAUCCAAAGGCGGAGCUCCUCGACGUGUUCCCACUUCUCCGCCUCCUUCCGAUCGUCGAGGAAGAUGUCGGGCUCAGACGGGUCGUGGGAGGCCCGGAUACGGAUGCGGUCGGGGCACCAGUGCUCCAUCUCCCGGUCAGCCCGCGCCUUAACGCCGCGGAUGAGGCCCUCGACGGUCUCGAGGGAGCCCCCAUGGCGCAGGAACAGGUCGACGAGGCAUGGGAACCGUCCGUCGUCAUCCACCGUCUUCCAGGUUCCAUCCUUGGUCCCCGAUGCCCCAAUUUCAUCCUCCUCGGAAGGAAAGCGGUCCUCCCACGCCCGACGUUCCCGGAGGAACCCUGGGGCGAUCCCGUCCAUGCCGAAAAUUGUCCUCUUGAUAUCGGACUCGGGGUCGGGGGGCGUGCGCUUCAGGCAGGCGAGCGCCACCACUCCAUCCGCUCGCCCCGGCUCUGCCCGGAUCGCGGCAGGUGCCCCCGGGAGGAGCCACGCCGGGGUUGGGGGGCCGUACACCGGCAAGUCCUCCUCCUCGCCGAGCUCUUGCGGCUCCGGUGGCACUGGCUGGGCCGGACCUUGCGGCUCCGGUGGCACUGGCUGGGCCGGACCUUGGGGCACUGGCUGCUGCUGCUGCUGCGGUUGCUCCUGCGGUUGUUGCUGUUGCUGCUGCCGCUGUUGCUGUUGUUGCUGCUGCUGUUGUUGUUGCUGCUGUUGCUGUGCCUCAUGCUCCUGUGGCUGCCGCGCCGCCUCGCGCUCCCGCUGUUCAUCCCCCUCCCUCUUCUUUUUCUGCUCCUCGAGGGUGCGGAGGCCGGCGGGCCAGGGAGUUGAUCCCUCGACAUGAGGGGUCGACGUUUCCUCCUCCAUGGGGCGGGCACCCCCAGACGCUCUGUCACCAUCAGACGUGUCGCUGAUGGUGAUGGGUUCCCCCUCGACCCCCAAUCUAGGGGGAUCGGGGGCUCCCUCUGACGCUUGCGUCUGGGGCGCCUCAUCACAAGUCGGCAGCGACGGAAUAGGCGCGGGACGAGACGGAGCCCUCUCGACGCCGGCUGGAGGUUGGGAACUGGAGGAGCCUACGAAACAAAGGGUAAAAAGGUCAGACGUUAUAAUAACCGACACAAGAACAUCGCAAGGCCCAGAAAUAAACUACGAACCUGGUUCCUUGGAGGCGGCGCCCGUUUUGAGCCUCUUUGCCAUGGAUGGCUGGGCCUGCUCGAGGGUCCGCUUUAGCCUGAGAAAAGAUCGGUAUAUGAGCAAACGCAGAGGAACAGGAAGACAAAAGCCACAGCAUCGAGAAGGCUUACCCCACGGGGAGAACAGCUCGCCUCCCUCCGCCCCGACCGGUGGGCCUCGAGCCACCCCGCGUCAGGGCUCCAGGCCCCUCAAGGGCAGGUGCUGGCCUAGGUGCGUCAGUUCCAGCCUGACGGGCGCCGGGACUGGCGCUCCUGCGGCCGACCUCUCCUUUCUCGGAGGCUGCUGCGCGACCGCGGGUCAGUGGCCCCAUCGCUUGGGGCCUGGCAUGACCGCUCUCCCUGAGCGCCGGGGGAGGGCGCGGCACGACUUGGCUGACCUUGGGCGCGGGAGGGGUAUCGGCGCGAGGACGGUAGGAUCCGCCUGGGCCCCCCGUCGGAGCUUCCGCCCGAGGAGCGUCGACGUCGCCUUGAGAUGGACCCCCGAGGAUCCGGUCAAGACGAGACGCCAUCCCCUCGGAGUCCUCACUGUCCUCGUCAUCGUCGUCAUCUUUCUCGCUGGGGGACUCUUCCUCAGGCUCUCCCCUCUGCCUGGACUUGGACCGGCGCGCCUCUAAGGCUUGCCGGUCGAGGUUUUUCUUCUUCUCCCCCUUCUUCUUAGAGUCCUUGACGGACUUCGACUUCUCGGCGGACCGGCGCCGCGCGUCGCGGUCGACUUCGUCCUCCCUCACCGGGGGCCUCGAGGAUCGAACGUCGAUCCGCCCCUACCACCGUAAAAAGUAGACUUAGAAAAAGGGGGUGGAAAAGGAACCCAGUGUCAAGGCUACCCGCGAGGAAGAAAACAUACCAGAUCGACCGAGCCUUCAUCAGGCCUCAUGGGGAAGCCGUUGACGUGCUGCGACUUGAAGUCGCCGGCGAUGGCCGCCCUGACCCGGGCGGCGACUUCAUCGUCCGCCAGAGCCACGUUGGACAUCCGGCAAGCUUCGAGAUCCCGGGACGAGACGCCCGGCCCCAUUUCGUCCAUCCUCAACGGCCGAGACAUCAGGGGAAGGACCCUCCGACGAUGGACGGCCGAAAGGACGAGAGCGGCGGACAGGCCCUCCAGGCGCAGCUUCUUCAUGGCGUCGAGGAGGGGGUCGAGCCGCGACUGGUGCUCCUGGACGACGCCAUACGUCCAGUUGUCUGGGCGCUCUGAGAUCAGACGGCCCGUGUAGGCGGGGAAGAGACCGUCGUCGUUUCUCAGAUAGAACCACUAGGAGUCCCACCCAGCAUGGUUCGACGACAGCCCCACCGGGAUGUACUCGCGCGGCCUUUCCGUCUUCUUCGUCUUCAACACCAGGUUGAGGCAUCCGGCCCGCACGGGUUUCCUCACGCCGGUGGUUCCAGUGGGGGCGUUGAAAAGUUCGCCCCUGUAGAGGUGGAGCCAUAGAUCCCAAUGGGGCAUCAUCCCCAGAUAGCCCUCACACACCGCGACGAAGACCGCCGCGACGGUGAUGGCGUUCGGAGAAAAAUGCUGGAGCUCCACUCCAUAGUGGAAGCAGAGGGCCCGCAUAAAGCGACUCGGGGGAGCACCCAAGCCACGGCGGUGGAACUUGGCGAAUGACACCACAUAGCUCUCGGGUGGCUGGGGCUCCCUGUGACUCGCCGGCGGCGCGAUCCACUCCGGCGAAGACUGCGAAGUGCGGCGGCGCAAGAGCCCUUCAUUCUCGAGCUCUAGCAGACGGCGGUCCGUCAUCAACGACGGACGCCAGUCGUCGGCGGCAACAAGCUUCACAGGCAUCUUGGUUGGAAGGAUGGUGGAUUCACUACCGCUCGAGGGGGUGCACGCGCGCGUGGAGGAAGCAAGAGAGCAAAGGCAGCGAGAAGACGAAGGCGAGAGGACGGAAGGGGAAAGAAAGAAUGGAGCAACGCCACGGCGUAUUUAUAGAUAGCGGCCAACCAACGGAUAGAUCCGAUAAAUGAGGUAACUCCCCCCAUAAAUGCGCCGUCUAACGGUCCUUUCUCUCCUCACAGGCCGGACGCUCCGAAUUCCCCGCCGAUACAGUGUCGCAACGUCACUUACCUCAAAAGGUGCGCCCAACGGGCAGAAAGACGAACCGGCACGGCAGCUUCCUUACUUCGUAAGCCAAGAUAUGCGCCCACGAUAGUCUCGAGAGGUCGAUGGCUGGCCCGUCGAAAGGGUUCGACAGCCGAUCUCGAGCACCAAGAGUCAGGGAUCCCCAGCGAGUGGUCGAAAAUCGAGGCCCGCCUCGAGGACUCGCUGGCGAUGUCCAAGGUAGGGUCGAGACAGUCGAGAGGAAUCCCCCCGAAGGGAGGCAUCGAGCCGCUGGACUCUAUCGAAUGAGACCAGUAUCCCCGACCACGUCGACCCUGCUUUAUGAGGACGCCUCCGGGCUACAGCUGACCCCCUCGAAAGGGGCACAGGUUCUCACUUGGACUACCCGCUAGGAACUCAAUCUGGGGUGGAAGACGCUCGCUCUAUCGAGAGUACGUCGAAACCUCCACGCAAGGCAAAGCCGAACAAAACCUUCCACCACGGGUGUUGACAGCGUUUCUGCAAAUUUGGCAAAAUAACCCUCGAAGGAGUUAAAUACUCCCUCGAGGGCUCGGGGGCUACCCCCCGCGGGGUCGCUCGCGCGCCCCCGUGGAAGCUCGACCGUAAAAACGAAAGUCUCCACUCGAGCGCCAGCGCUCGAAUGAAGACUCGGAGGCUACUGUCGAGGGUAUCAACAAGGGGUACCCUCACCAAUGCGUAUAACGAGACCAUCCGUACACACGCGCGGCCAUCGACGGCCGCAGCCUCGAAGACGGAAAUAGCGUCGAGCGAAUCGGUCAGGGCUCGAGCGACAACUGCCGUCGAAUACGGAAGCGGGCUCGAGCGAACCGAGAGGCGUCGAGCGCAAGGACACUGUCCGCCGCCUGACGCGCGCACGAGAGCCAGGGCAUUUAAUGCACCUGACGCUUCCCCACCUAACACACGGGUCACGGGAGGCGUGAUAGGGAACAGGCUUCUGUCCCAUCGUUCUUUUUGCAGCCUUCCCACCGAACGACCCAGGGCGUGUCAGGACGCGGGAAACAAGGAUGGAACGUCUAAUCGGGACCCCCUCGAGACACCCAAGGUCAGCGCUCCAGAUAUCGACACCUCGUACGGCGUCCGACCCUCGACUUCACCAGGCUCCUUCCUGGAGACGAGUCGGGCGUCGACUGACCACGCCGUAACCGCUCCGCCGGAUUUGCCGCCGAGCCAUAUAAGCGUGCAUCCGCCGAACCAAUCCAAGACGGCGCGCAGAGCAGAAUGCAGGGGCACGCGUGAUCAUCACCUGGCUAUUAAGACGGGACGGCUCGAGGUCAUGCCGGUACGGAAACCUCGAGUAGGUCAGCGCUCCAUGCUGCUAUCGACUCCAAUUCCUACACCUAUACAUGUACCCUAGGUCCUUCCUUUGAACUAUAAAAGGAGGGACUCAGGAAUAGAACGGAGAGGACGACACAAGACCACGCUCAUACGUAGUAGAGCUCCACACUUCAUACCACGCUUGUAUUCGCCCCUGUACAAGCACUUAGGUGCAAGAUAAUACAAACUCUCUCCCCCCGCUGGACGUAGGGCCUUCUCUUACCCGAACCAGGAUAAAUCUCUGUGUCUUCUUGCAUCACCAUCCGGGAAAGGGAGCACGCAUACAAAUUUACUCGUUGGUGUGACCCCCGGGGGAAAAACACCGACACCACCCAACCCCGCCGUCCUCCCUGUCUCCGCCAAAGCAAUGUUUUCAGUCCUUUAUGCUGCUCCUAGUCUCAUGUUUGGUCUUGGAUAUUUGCUGUGGCAUGCCGAUGUUGAGCUUG